rnacentral:rRNA from 1 species
GAUGAACGCUGGCGGCGUGCCUAAUACAUGCAAGUCGAGCGAACAGACGAGGAGCUUGCUCCUCUGACGUUAGCGGCGGACGGGUGAGUAACACGUGGAUAACCUACCUAUAAGACUGGGAUAACUUCGGGAAACCGGAGCUAAUACCGGAUAAUAUAUUGAACCGCAUGGUUCAAUAGUGAAAGACGGUUUUGCUGUCACUUAUAGAUGGAUCCGCGCCGCAUUAGCUAGUUGGUAAGGUAACGGCUUACCAAGGCAACGAUGCGUAGCCGACCUGAGAGGGUGAUCGGCCACACUGGAACUGAGACACGGUACAGACUCCUACGGGAGGCAGCAGUAGGGAAUCUGCCGCAAUGGGCGAGAGCCUGACGGAGCAACGCCGCGUGAGUGAUGAAGGUCUUCGGAUCGUAAAACUCUGUUAUUAGGGAAGAACAAAUGUGUAAGUAACUAUGCACGUCUUGACGGUACCUAAUCAGAAAGCCACGGCUAACUACGU